rnacentral:rRNA from 1 species
GGGCGAAGCCUGAUCCAGCCAUGCCGCGGUGUGUGAAGAAGGUCUUCGGAUUGUAAAGCACUUUAAGUUGGGAGGAAGGGUUGUAGAUUAAUACUCUGCAAUUUUGACGUUACCGACAGAAUAAGCACCGGCUAACUCUGUGCCAGCAGCCGCGGUAAUACGAA